UCGUUUCCCAACUGUUUGGUCACGAAACAAACUGAAUACAUUUACAAGGUUUCUUGUUAAUAUGGGAAUUUUUAGGUUAUUUUGUGUUAAUAUGUCCGUUUCAGAGUAAGAAUGCGUGAAAGAGAACUCCGUUUAGUAUUUUGUGCUCUGACUCUCUGCGCGCGCGCGCAUACCUCAAACCAACCCAGUCUCACGGCAGUUCGUGAUAUAGUCACGAAAUUUAAUCUAUUGGUUCGUGUUGGUGGACACGAAUUUCCCUCUUUUUUCGUGUCACUCACCACGAAUUUCCAUCUAAUGUAUUUCAAUAGGAAAAAUCUUUCGUGACCUCCACCACGAACAUAACCCGUAACUCGAAUUUGCAUUGUUGGUUGCGGUGCUCUUCCAAGCCAAAUCAGGGUCCAAGCAAGGUCAUCGGGAUUUCCCGGUGCUCCCAAUUGCCAGUGAAAAUGAAAUACAGCCUGAAUCAUUAUCCCACGGAACAGAACAGCCCGGAUUUAAAAAAAAACAGCCAUUGGCACGCUUUUCUUAUGUAACAGGUUAAAAAAGGUGCUUUCACUUGCUUUUGGUUAUUAUAUACAUAUGGCCCUUUAAGUAUAAUAGACCUGCACUCUCUGUUCAUUGGCUGGCGGCAUGUUGGAAACUCUUUCCGGUUUAGUCAUUAAUAUUCUCGCCAGUCAAGAGAGUGGUUGUGGUGGGACGUCGUGUAAAAAUGCUGUGAAACUGAUCACCUCAUUUGAAUGUUUUAACAGAAUUAAAUGAUUCCCCCAAGGCGCGAAAUGGUGUUGGUUGUCGCAAGUAUUUCACACAACGCAGAUACGAGCCGUUACACUUAUACUUUUCAUACAGAAGACGCGCGUUCAAUGCAAACGUGCAAUCAGUUGCUGUGGGAACAUAAUUCUCAGUCGUUUCUGUGAAGGACCAGACACAUUUGAAACUCAUUGUCAACACAGUAGGCUAUACACACGUCAGGGUCGAACACCUUACAUUGCCAUUAUUUAGAAUAAACUCCUACUACACAAAAUAAAAAUAAAUCAACUAAAAGAUGUUUAAAUUGUUUUUCAAUUAAUCUUUUUAAAUAUUUCCCUUGCCGCGGGGCUCCCUAGAGGGCGGAGCCCCGCCCAAAAGACGGCUCUGGCGGUCAUACAUACAAAUAUACGAGACUGCGUUAAUUAGAGACACACACAUUUAUUACAGUGUGUAAAUGAUAAAAUAUAUAUUCUGCCUUAUUCUCUGAUAAAAAAUUGGGGGGGAUUACAUUUGGCAUUUCUGUCAGCAUUACCCAUGAUCCUCAGCCUCCGGAGCCAGGCCGCAGCCGCGGGUGAAUUCUUCUCAUUGCGCGCUCAAACCACAGUCCAGGUAAGUUACGAGCUAAUUACCAAUGAUCACGUUUUGUUUAAAUGUUGUAAUUGAUGCCUUUCUUUGCCAUUAAACUCACAUGGUUUAAAUGCUUGAGCAACAAUUUAAACCCGACCAUUGGUUUGCUCCUUAUUAGCGAAUAAUAAUAAUAACAACAAAUUAGGCUUGCUGAAUGGAGCUAGCUAACUUCAAUAUAAGCUAACUCUAUUAAUAGAAAGAAAUUCAAGGCACUUCUUCUGGUCCAAAAAAAGUUAAAAAUCCUUUAUUCACUUCACUGCACACUGAUGCAUUUGGGCCUUCAUCAGUGUGUGUAUAAUUAACAGGUGUAACUGUUACAUAUAAUUAGUCAGUGAAGUUGGGAGAAAUCAAAAGAACUGUUACAGGGGGACCUAAAAAUAUACAAAUAUCAAAUAAACAACUACAAUAAUCAUACUAUUAAUGAUUACUAGUAAAAGCUAAGUGUAGUUUAAGUUAUAUCAGCUGAAGGGUAACUCAACAUGGAGCAUUGCAUUAUUGUGUGAGCUCUAGUCAAUGACAUUUUCUCGCGGAUCAUCGUGAUUCACCCACAACUUCACUGUAAUGUGUCAGUAAUAACAAUAUAACUUUGCCUAAAGUUACUGCACAUAAAGUGUCCUUUAAAUCUGGGAUGAGGAACCCCAGACGCAUGUUAUAUGCAUUUUAACUGUCAUACAGGAAAUUGGUAAAUCUUGCAUUUUUAUUAAUUUACCUUAAGUAUUUAUAAGAAAAAGGGAACCUCUCACUAUUGGGGGUACCCUUUUUAAACCUUAUUUUAACAUAACUACUCUACACUACAUAAAUAACAUUUUCUGUUCUCCCUUGCAGAUCCUGUCAAACAAGUCACCUGUCCGAACAUAUACACCUGAUUUACCGAACCCAAAGGCACUUUUAAGAGCCAACCUCUAUCUGUCUGUCUUUCUAUCUCUAUCUCUCACAAUGCCAGGGGGGACUACAAAAAAGAUUUGUCCCUUUUGUCAGUGUAUUUUAUAUUGUGCACAGAAGAUCUGUUUGAAUUGUAAGAAGGAGCAGCCUCUGAAGCAGCGGCUCAAGAAGAAGCUUCAGAGGUUUGAUGAGAAGCGAGAGGAAUGGGUCGUAGUUCAUAAGAAGAACCACAACAUUGCAUCCAUCAAGGAUGAAGCAAUUGUCAUGCGGAGGCUCAUCCAAACCUGCCCAAAACGCCUCGUUUAAACACGCCCCCACAUUUCUACAUCAGUUCAUGAGAAGCGUUGAAGAACACCGCCCAAAAUGUAUACGCAAAGAAAGAAGGCGUGUCUAUCCCCGCUGUACUGUUGUUCUUGCUGCCGCCAUGUCGCGGAGACGCUGCGUUUCAUUACAAAAGGAAAACUACUUAGUUGGGUCUUCCAAACGAGGACACGAUUAGAAAUCAGUGGUUAAGUUUAUUUACAACACUGUUCCAAAACAGCACAACUCCAAGAUCCGAGUGUGUGCAGCUCAUUAACACCUGGUUGUGCACAAAGACUGUUUCUAAAAAGUGGGGCAAAUCCAACUUUGUAAGGAAAGUCUGCUGCUUCUCACUCACAGCCUGUAAGUAUGUUUUCAUUAUUAAAGAAUUUGCAACUGACUAUUCAAACGUAAGCUUUUUGUCAGUUCUACGAUCACAAAUGUAGAAAUGGUUUUAUAUUUAGGAGGCUGAAUCCAUCGGGAGCUGGACACGGCGAGACACGGCGUCAAAGGCUGUUCAAGAAGUUAGCUAUAGUUAGCUAAUUGUUAAACCUAAUCGUUUUUCCAAAUAAAACCUUACCGACCAGUAACGCUCUGCUGGCUAGGUCGCGCUGGCAAAGUUGAUAAUUUACUUGAUCAAAUGCAUUUUCUGAAUCAUAUUCGGGCUUGAACUCACACGGUGCCGGUGACAUUAUCAGCUGUCAAUAUGCUUUGAAGGCUGAUGUUCCGAAUAUGGUAAGGGGUGUUACAUUUCCGGCACAUGCUUGAGGUAUUCGGCCAAUUACAACGCACUGGGUAGCUGGCCAAUCAGAGCACACUGCGCUUUUCACAACGAUGAGCUUUGUUAACAAUCUAGGCAUUUCAGAAACGCGGGGCACAGAGGAGCAACAGUAAUGCACAGUGUGUGAAAAUUAAAGUGUUUUUUUAACCGUAAACCGCGUAAACGCACUGUAUUACAGCAAAUAAACACAAUAAUGUUCGUUUUAAGCGUCCAAUAUGACCCCUUUAAAUAAUACAAUUUUAGCCUUAACACAGCACAGUCCUAAAUUAUCUACCACGACAAAAUUGGAACACAGCAAAUAUAAGUGAUAGUUGGGAAUUCUGAAUUCAUAAAAAGCAGAGACAUGCAUUAUGAUAGAAUCACAGAUGCAAUAUAGUAAUCAAACUGUCUUAUCAAGGGGAUGAGAAAUAACAAAUGGACUGCAUUCAUUCUACUACAUUCAUACUGUAUGUAACACAGAGUUCGUGAUGCACACCUCACAGCUAACAGCGACACCAGUGGAACACUAUUACCUAUGGGAGAGUACUUGGACCAGAAUCAGAAGGUACUAACUGAUGGGAUGGCUCGCCAGUCCGAAACAGGAAGUAAAUCCACAGCACGGACAAAUUUCGGGAUCACAGCGGCAGGGAUGAUUCAAUCACACAUGGAAAGAACAC